CAAAUUUUUUUCCUGGAAAAAAAAUAUUUUCCCUAGAAAGUUUGUAUACUUCCCGCUUUAGUUUUUUUAUUUCUUUGAACAUGAAAAUCAUGGAGCAAGAAGGAGAAAUUUUCGAAGAGGAGAAGGAAAUUAGAGUUUUCAGUGCAGAAGAAACAGACGACGACAGUGAACCAAAGGAUGGCGUAGAAGCUGAAGAGGAAGAGGAAGAUGAUGACGAAGACGGAGAGGAAGAAGACGACGACGACGACGACGACGAAGACGACGACGACGAUGAUGAUGAGGGAGCCGAGGACGAUGACGACGAUGAGGUUCAGGUCUUACACUCCUCCGGGGGGCCGCCGGUUCAGUCGGCUGAUAAUGAUGAGGACGAAGACGACGAGGAUGGCGAUGAAGAUGAUGAUGGUGAAGGCGGCGAUGACGACGACGACGACGACGACGACAACGAUGAGGAGGAGGAAGAUGACGCUGAAGAAGAGGAUAUGGGCACGGAAUACCUUGUUCAACCAGUAGGUCGUGCUGAAGAUGAAGAAGAUGCUAGUGAUUUUGAACCAGAAGAGAAUGGUGAGGAUGAAGAUGUUGAGGAGGAAGAUGAUGACGGAGAUGAUGAUGACAAAGAAGGUGCUGGGAAAGUUGAGGCUCCAGCAAAGAGGAAGAGGUCGGAUAAAGAUGACUCAGAUGAUGAUGAUGGUGGAGAGGAUGAUGAGAGACCAUCCAAGCGAUAGGGCUGGGGACCCUUCUUGGUUUGAGGACUGACCAUUUAACAAAUAGGUCAAUCUCUCUAUCCCUCAAUCUUAAACCAUCUCAUCUUUGUAGAAAGAAGGAUAGGAUGCUUUUGGAUUUAUGUUUUAAAAUCCUGUAUCAUCAAGUGGCAGUACUUUUAGGAUUAUAUGUUUAAUUUGGGAAGGCAUUGUUGGGGUUUUUGGGCGGGGAGGUGGUUGUGGUGGUGUUUGAAUAACUAUUUGAAA
rnacentral:misc_RNA from 1 species